AUAAGUAUUAAUUUGUAAUUGGUUUUAAACACUAUUUACAAUCAAUAAUCUACAGCAUAUUUAUUAGUUAUUAUAUAAAAAAAAUUAUGCGCGCUUUAUAUUUCUUCGCAUGGCUUUUUCCUUAUACCCAUAUAACGUAUCGAUUUAAUUAUUACCGUUAAAUGUCAAUUUGUGAAUAAAUAAACAACAACAAUAUUGAAUUUCUAAAAAAAACAUAUUUUUAAAAGGCAAAUAUUUGUUGAUUUUAUGAGUCAAUUAACUUUUUCAAGUGCUAAAUAUAAAUAAGAAAUUUUGUAGAAAUUAAUGCGUAACAUCAAAGCUAAUCAAUAUAUAAAAAAGAAUAUUGAGUUGGGUUGAAGUAAAGUUACACGUGAAUCAAUAGUUUACUACGCAGAAGCUAUGGUAAAUAAUAAAGUAAAAUAUUAUUGGUUUUUAUCGAAUUUUUGUUUCUACUAUACAAAUUGAGAAUCCGUUAGUAGGGGUGUACAAAAAUCGUUUGCGCAUGAUUGAAAGUUUGCGACUUACCAUCUGUCGCGUGUUUGAAUACAAUCUAAUUCCAAAUGUAUAUAUACAUAUAUAUUAACUUACUGCAAUACUUGUAAGUCAUUGUAGUGGUAGUUGAAUAAAAUCGAAGUAACACAAUUUUCAUCUUUUACCUUGCGGUAUAUCUAUAUACAUAUAAAUCGUUACAUCACCGUCUACGUCUACGUCCCGAGUACACAAAGUUCAACGACAUAUAGACUGGAGAAAAAAUCAAUACUUUAACUCUAUAGGCAUGAAUAAAUAAGAUAAUUCGAUUAUUGUUAAGCUAUAUUGCAAAGAUUCUGCAAAGUAAAAGUUUAAAUAAAGAUUUUUAAACAAUACACUUCUCGAUGCUAAAAUAGUAUUCUACGUAUUUGAUUUUAAUAAUUUCAAUGUUUUCUAUUUCCAUUAUUUAUAUUAUAAGUAAAGUAGUAAACUUUUUAUAGACCGUUAAAAAUUUAGCGAUAACUAUUCAAGUACCUCGUGUCUUUAGCGAUAAAGCCGGUAUGUAAGCAAGUAGUGUGAGCUCGCUGGUAUAAUUUUUUUCAUUUUUGUAGUAGAAUAGUUCGAAUAAUUUUUUUUUUCUUCACUUUAUUUAUUUUUACAUUUAUGUAGUUCAUUAAAAAUUCAUUAUUUUAAUGCUUAAAAUAUCUUUCAGUCAAUAAAAAUGUCACUAAAGUAGUCAAACUAUUAUCUCGAAAUUGAUUUUUAAAAAGUUAUGGAAUGGAAUUUUCCAUUCCUGUAGGCCUCGGAUUCUCUUCAUGACGUUGACAAUACACAUUCAAUACACAAUAGUUACAGGAAUUAUAGUGGGGACACAACCGUAAGUCUGUACGCACCUAACAGUUCUCGUGUCCCUGUUCAAGUACUUACUAUUAUUAUUAUUCAUUGUUAUUUUCUUUUUUUUUUUUUUUGUACCAAUAUAUGCUUACUUAUUCACUUUACUUCAAAUAAUUUUGUCGAGAUUGUAAUGACUGAUUACUGUCAUACUUACUUCAGUAAAAUUUUAGCUAAUUGCAUGGCAAAUAAUAGCUUUCUAACUGUAUACAGGAAAAAAAAUUAUUAGUUUAUCCAAAAAAAUUUCGAUUUGUUUUUGUUCUAUUAAUAAACUUAUACGCUCAA
rnacentral:lncRNA from 1 species